UACGAAGGGGGCUAGCGUUGUUCGGAAUUACUGGGCGUAAAGCGCACGUAGGCGGACAUUUUAAGUCAGGGGUGAAAUCCUGGAGCUCAACUCCAGAACUGCCUUUGAUACUGGGAAUCUUCGAGUCCGGGAGAGGUGAGUGGAACUGCGAGUGUAGAGGUGAAAUUCGUAGAUAUUCGCAAGAACACCAGUGGCGAAGGCGGCUCACUGGCCCGGUACUGACGCUGAGGUGCGAAAGCGUGGGGAGCAAACAGG
rnacentral:rRNA from 1 species